rnacentral:rRNA from 1 species
GAUGAACGCUGGCGGCGUGCCUAAUACAUGCAAGUCGAGCGAACAGACGAGGAGCUUGCUCCUCUGACGUUAGCGGCGGACGGGUGAGUAACACGUGGAUAACCUACCUAUAAGACUGGGAUAACUUCGGGAAACCGGAGCUAAUACCGGAUAAUAUAUUGAACCGCAUGGUUCAAUAGUGAAAGACGGUUUUGCUGUCACUUAUAGAUGGAUCCGCGCCGCAUUAGCUAGUUGGUAAGGUAACGGCUUACCAAGGCAACGAUGCGUAGCCGACCUGAGAGGGUGAUAGGCCACACGGGAACUGAGACACGGUCCAGACUCCUACGGGAGGCAGCAGUAGGGAAUCUGCCGCAGUGGGCGAAAGCCUGACGGAGCAACGCCGCGUGAGUGAUGAAGGUCUUCGGAUCGUAAAACUCUGUUAUUAGGGAAGAACAAAUGUGUAAGUAACUAUGCACGUCUUGACGGUACCUAAUCAGAAAGCCACGGCUAACUACGUG